rnacentral:rRNA from 1 species
AGUGAACGCUGGCGGUAGGCCUAACACAUGCAAGUCGAACGGUAGCACAGUAAGCUCUUUCUCUUUCGGUUGGCUAGUGGCGGACGGGUGAGGAAUACAUCGCCAUCUACUUUUUCGUGGGUGAUAACUUAGGGCAACUUACACUAAUACCUCAUACUACCUACGGCUUAAAGCUUGUUUUCUUCGGACCUUUCGUGAUUUACUGAGCCGAUGUCGGUUUUGCUAGUUGGCGGGUUAAAGGCUCACCAAGGCGACGAUCCGUAGCUGGUCUGCGAGGAUGAUCGGCAAAACUGGAACUGAGACACGGUCCAGACUCCUACGGGAGGCAGAAGAGGGGAAUAUUGGACAAUGGGCGAAAGCCUGAUCCAGCCAUACCGGGUGGGUGAAGAAGGCCUUCGGGUUGAAAAGCCCGUUUGUAGGGAAAGAAAAGCAGGAGGGUAAUAAGCCGAUGUUCUGACGGUACCCAAAGAAUAAGCAACGGCUAACUUCGUG